rnacentral:sRNA from 1 species
AGAUCGAUCUAAGAUGGCGACUGUCGAACCGGCUGGAGUGCAAUGGCGCGAUCUUGGCUCACCGCAACCUCCGCCUCCUGGGUUCAAGCGAUUCUCCUGCCUCAGCCUUCCGAGUAGCUGGGAUUACAGGCAUGUGCCACCACGCCCGGCUAAUUUUGUACUUUUAGUAGAGAUGGGGUUUCUCCAUGUUGGUCAGGCUGGUCUUCAACUCCCGACCUCAGGUGAUCCGCCCGUCUUGGCCUCCCAAAGUGGUGGGAUUACAGGCAUGAGCCACCGCGCCUGGCCUGAAAAUUUUUAGUACUUUUAAUAUACCCUUGUGCACAGGCUAGUUAUGUGGAAUUAUUUUUGACAGUUUUAAAUAGUUGGAUUUUGUGUGUAGGGGUGCAGGAUCUUGCUCUGUUGCUGGGGCUGGAGUGCAGUGGCGCGAUCAUAGCUCACUGCAGCCUCAAACUCCUGGGCUCAAGAGAUGCUUCCAUCUCAGCCUCUGGUGUAGCAAGCACUACAGGCGCAGGCCACCACGCCCGGAUAAUUUUUAAACUUUUUGUAGAGAUGGAAUCUCGCGAUGGUUACCCAG